AUGAACGCUGGCGGCGUGCCUAAUACAUGCACGUCGAGCGAACAGACGAGGAGCUUGCUCCUCUGACGUUAGCGGCGGACGGGUGAGUAACACGUGGAUAACCUACCUAUAAGACUGGGAUAACUUCGGGAAACCGGAGCUAAUACCGGAUAAUAUAUUGAACCGCAUGGUUCAAUAGUGAAAGACGGUUUUGCUGUCACUUAUAGAUGGAUCCGCGCCGCAUUAGCUAGUUGGUAAGGUAACGGCUUACCAAGGCAACGAUGCGUAGCCGACCUGAGAGGGUGAUCGGCCACACUGGAGCUGAGACACGGUCCAGACUCCUACGGGAGGCAGCAGUAGGGAAUCUUCCGCAAUGGGCGAAAGCCUGACGGAGCAACGCCGCGUGAGUGAUGAAGGUCUUCGGAUCGUAAAACUCUGUUAUUAGGGAAGAACAAAUGUGUAAGUAACUAUGCACGUCUUGACGGUACCUAAUCAGAAAGCCACGGCUAACUACGUG
rnacentral:rRNA from 1 species